UAUGUGUCAGUUGUGUCCUGACACACAUCAAAGGUAUUUUGGAAUGAAAUCCAGAAGUGUUGAAGUUGUAACAACCCCUUAGAAGCCUGGCAAGCAAACUUAGAGCACCAGCCUGUAUUUAUAGCUACUGUCAUCUCCGCCAAAGAGAAUGCAUCAGCUCCAGGCUAUACAGUAUUCCCUACACGGUUGCUUUUGUUCACACAAUAUUCACCAUGUUCUCCGGGUCUGCUGCAAAUCAUCUCUGUAAGACAGAAGAUAAUUUGAGGAGAGAACCACAUCCAAGCCUUCAUUGGCAGGGAAAAAAAAAAAACAACAGAGCAACAUGAAGAUAAAAAGGCAGCAGUCAGCUCAGUUCUGGGAGCACUGUACUAUCAGUCCACUGCAAGCACAAGUCUUGUCUCAACUGCUUACUCCUGCCUAAAAUUGGUAAAGUAUCAUAGAUUUCCUACUGGGGCAUACUCAAUAGCAGUGCGAGUCCAGUGCUGAUGUAACAAGGAACAAGGGUGUUCUGCCAGCAUCACCUUUCUCAGUAAGUAUAACUUGUGUUCAGAUCAUCUCCCUGCUCAUAGAAAUUUCUGGCUAAGUAACUUACCCAUUUUGCCCAAACC
ensembl:lncRNA